UUUUAUUUUUUUGUUUUUUUAUUUGUCGCGUCGUCGCAGUCGCAGUUGCAAUUUUUCCUCCGUUAAACCGUUCGCCAUUGUUGUAUUAUUUUGGUAUUCUUUUUUGCAUUAUUGUUAUUGUUUCCUGCUAUAUUUGUUUAACCAAUAUUUAAAAUGUGGAUGUUACUGCAGCGAUAUAGCUCUCGAACUUUAUUGAUUUUUCUAAUUUUUUUUUUUUUUUUUUUUUUUUUUUUUGUAUUAGGAAAUGGAAUUUUAUCGCGUAGUGAGAUAUAAUUUUGUUCCG